GUCUCCACCCAUACCACUCUGAAUGCACCUAAUCUCCUCUGAUCUUGGCAGCUAAGCAGUGUCCGGUCUGGUUAGUACUUAGAAGACGCAUCUUGAAUCAGGGCACUGAGCUU
rnacentral:rRNA from 1 species